GGAGUUAGCCGGUGCUUCUUCUGUGAGUGAUGUCCUUCCUGCCGGUUAUUGACCCGCAGGCCUUCUUCCUCACUGAAAGUGCUUUACAACCCGAAGGCCUUCUUCACACACGCGGCAUGGCUGGAUCAGGGUUGCCCCCAUUGUCCAAUAUUCCCCACUGCUGCCUCCCGUAGGAGUCUGGGCCGUGUCUCAGUCCCAGUGUGGCUGAUCAUCCUCUCAGACCAGCUACGGAUCGUCGCCUUGGUGAGCCGUUACCUCACCAACCAGCUAAUCCGACAUAGGCUCAUCCGAUAGCGCGAGGCCCGAAGGUCCCCCGCUUUCCCCCGUAGGGCGUAUGCGGUAUUAGCCUGGGUUUCCCCAGGUUAUCCCCCACUACCGGCAGAUUCCUAUGCAUUACUCACCCGUCCGCCGCUCGCCACCAGGGAGCAAGCUCCCCGUGCUGCCGCUCGACUUGCAUGUGUUAGGCCUGCCGCCAGCGUUCAAUCUGAACCAAGAUCAAAUUCUGA
rnacentral:rRNA from 1 species